rnacentral:misc_RNA from 1 species
GGAGGGAUCAUUAACACGUAUCCAAUACGUUUCUCAACCCAAUCACCGUGAACUAGAAACAACUCCCUUCACAGAAGACAAACGAGGAAGCCAGGGUGGAUUGCAGAACAAGUGAAACAAUCAUGUGCAGCUUCGGCUGUCAUGACUUCGCCUCUGCAUUGCCAAUCGUUCUAGGACCCUUGAGGUUCAAUCUGAUGUGAAGCGUCUUUGCGACCACCUGGCAGACUGCAUUUCAGUCUCCUUCGGGAGUCUGAUCUAAGCAGCGUCUGUCGAAUGUUUAACCCAAUUUUUUAACCCCUUUAACAACAUACUAAUAACUGAACCUUUUUUUUCUAAUGUUCAUGUUUCGGCAUGUGACAUUGAAAAAAGAUAUACGUAAUGCUGAACAACUCUUAGCAAUGGAUAUCUUGGUUCUCGUAACGAUGAAGAACGCAGCGAAAUGCGAUACGUAAUGCGAAUUGCAGAAUUCAGUGAAUCAUCAAAUCUUUGAACGCAAAUGGCGCUCUUGGGAUAGGCCCGGGAGCAUGCCUCUCUGAGUAUCGGUUCUAUCUAUCAACGGCAACGUGCUUGCAUGUUUGCGCAGUUGGAAAAUGAAUGUCUGAACGCGACAAGCAAUUCAGUCAUUUAAAACAGAUAGAAGCUUGGAUCGCACUAGAAGGCGCUGCUUCGGCAGCUAGCAAGUCUCCGACUAGCUCGUUCCUUUACUAGUGACGUGGAUAGAAGUACCACUUGCUGGUCUUUCAAAACGUUGUUAGGACUGGAAUGAGUUUGGAGUCAUGUGAAAGUCUAGUUGUAAUCCUUGUCUUGUCAUCGAAUUCAAGUUCAUGUCUUCGGAUAUGUUCUUUCCUUGAAUUAGAUCUCAGAUGAAGCAAGAGGACCCCCUGAAUUUAAGCAUAUUAUUAAGGGGAGGAAAAGAAACUAACAAGGAUUCCCCUAGUAACGGCGAGUGAAGCGGGAAGUAGCUCAAUCUGGGAAUCGAGAGUGGAAGCCCACGCCUCGAAUUGUAUCCUAGAGACGUAUUGUCAGCGUGUGACCUCGGUACAAAUCUUUUGAAACAAGGUAUCAUAGAGGGUGAGAAUCCCGUCUCUGACCGAGAGUUCGCCGCGUACGACGUAUGUUCGACGAGUCGAGUUGUUUGGGAUUGCAGCUCUAAAUGGGUGGUAAAUUUCAUCUAAAGCUAAAUAUCGACGAGAGACCGAUAGCGAACAAGUACCGUGAGGGAAAGAUGAAAAGAACUUUGAAAAGAGAGUUAAAAAGUACUUGAAAUUGUUAAGAGGGAAGCGCUAGCAAGCAGUCAUGACACGCAGCUAUACUUACUGGUGGACACCGAAACCGACUGCGGACCAGAUCGCAAGACUGUGUCGGGAAGGGGACGAGUGGCUGCCGGGUCAUGUAGUUGUGUGUGGGUCAGAGUCAAUUCGUUGCGUGGCUGAAGGCUUGCAGAAAGGUAGGGUCUCCGGACCUGUUAUAGUCUGUGAGUUGGACCAUGUGAUGGAUUGAGGGAUGAUAAUCAACGCCGCAAGGUUUCGGCGCGGCUCUCCUGCUGGUUGGAGUGGGGCAGAGGACAAUGUCCUGUGUUUCGCUUUCGGCUGGUACUGGGUGUCGCUGCCAGAUGUUGAUUCGCGAUUCUGACGAAAUGCUUGCUAUCGACCCGUCUUGAAACACGGACCAAGGAGUCUAACAUAUAUGCGAGUAUUUGGGUGCAAAACUCUGAUGCGUAAUGAAAGUAAAGACAGUCUCGGCUGUUGAGGUAGGAAGGGUGUAACAACCUGGCACUAUCGACCGAUCGUCACUUGUGAUUGAUUUGAGUGCGAGCAUAUCUGUUGGGACCCGAAAGAUGGUGAUCUAUGCCUGAACAGGGUGAAGCCAGGGGAAACUCUGGUGGAGGCUCGUAGCGAUACUGACGUGCAAAUCGUUCGUCUGAUUUGGGUAUAGGGGCGAAAGACUAAUCGAACCAUCUAGUAGCUGGUUCCCUC